rnacentral:rRNA from 1 species
CCCCUANCUCUUAUAGCCCCACAACCCCCCCCCUAGGCGCCGUGUGCUUGGUUUUAGGUUGGGGCGACCGCGGAGUACAAUAAAACCUCCACAAUGAAUGGGAACACCCCCUUAUCUGAGGGCCACACCCCCUAANAAUUANAACACUAACAUAAAAUGAUCCAUUACUUGAUCAAUGAACCAAGUUACCCUGGGGAUAACAGCGCAAUCCAUUUCAAGAGCCCCUAUCGACAAAUGGGUUUACGACCUCGAUGUUGGAUCAGGGUACCCCAGUGGUGCAGCAGCUACUAACGGUUCGUUUGUUCAACGAUUAAAACCCU